AGUCUUUUCAAAGCACAGGACUGCGUCUCUCACCACCACAGCCAGGCAGCUGCUCUUCUAGCUUCUGAUUAUCAUCCCCAAGCCAUGCCUUGGUCAUUUCUGAGUUGAACAAAAUCAUGGAAGAUGUGACUGUCAAGUGGAGACAUCGAGCCUUUCUGCUGCCCUCAGCAUCUCCCAGCAGCCUCUCUGGUUCAAGACUUUCUUUGUCUCUAGAAGUUGCUCCAGGAUCCCAGACUGUAUUGCUAAGCCAUUGCCAACGAUUUGCACUUCUGUCGUCCCUUUCAUCUGGGAACCACAAGGCCAUCUGAAACUUCUCUGAUCAGCUUCAGAGGAGUCCCCUCUAUCAGUUAAGAAUUGUACUCUACACUGAGAAGCAGGUAUUGCAUUUGUUGGUCGCAAGGAUAAUCCCCCAAAUUCCCACAGCAUCCAGAUGAAGUUGUCUACUGUCCACAGGAUGUUCAGCAAAGACACCGGGAUGUAUUUGCCUGAAGAAGAACGGAAGAGAACUGAAAAGAGACAUCUAAGGACUGAGUUCACACCGGGCCAUUGGGUGGACUCAGCCUCCCGGAAGUCAGCUCCCGGAAGUCUGAUGGCUGUGCGCCAGUGCUCUGCAUUUAAGCCAAGCUUGGCUACAAACCUGAUAAAAAUGAAAUUCAGUCUUCUGGUCACUGCUGUGUUCCUACUUUUCACCAUCCAGGAUACACUUUCUAAACCAGGGGAUGACGUUGUCAUCGGGCCAUUAAUACCUGAACUGCAUUUUAUUUCACAGAGGGCCUCAGGUACUCACAUAGCCCUACAGUGUGGAAUCAAUGUCUGAGAAACCAGGAAGAAAAUCUGACCCAAAGCUAGGUAAGUGCCAGUUUCUGAUGCAGGAAGAAUAAAGUUAAAUCCACCCGGGCUCAGUGAAGGAUGACAUGUCACUCUUUAAGGUUUCCUCUGUCCGAUUGCUGUAUGAACCCAUAUCCAGUAGUGUUAUAGUAGAUGUCUUCCCAGGAGGAAGAUUCCUCAUCUUCAACCCAAGUUUGCUUUUGUUCAAUGCAUUCACACUGUAGGAUCCUUCCUGAGAUUUGCUGUAAUAGAUUUGACUUGUGCUUCCAUGAGGUACCAUCACUUGUCUUAAAGGGUGGAAGGAAGCCAAUGGAUGGUAACCUGAAUGUGGGAGGGAAAACUCCAUUUUCCUCUGAAGGCGGAGCCAAGUGCAAAGUGAGAGCAUUGUAUUUUGGGUCUAAUGCACCUCUUGUUCAGCUCGGUGCAGCCUGAAUCUACAUACCAUUUUUCUUAGUGGAAAGGCAGAGAGAGAAGCUGAUACCUUCAGGAACAGCGAAUGCCACACUUGUUUCUGCUCCCCCUGGAUUUAUCAUGGAAGGUGAUCUAAUCCAUCCAUUCCCAGAAGAGAGUGUGUUGUAGCACUGGGUAUUUAUUCUCAGCAUGCCAAAGUUCUGUGCCCACAGAAAAGGUCCACCUCGCCUACUGUCAAGACUUUGGGUAGAUGUGUGGAUGCUCAGAUGCCUUGCUCCUUUCUCCUUUCUCAUGCAUGUUUCUGGCUUUGUGUAUUCCCUGGAUUUUGCCCAUGUCCUUCAUCACUGUGGGCUCCAAGAUACACUUUACUUGGUCUGUGAAAAACAGCUGACUCAACUGAAAACCUCCAUGGACUUCUUCACUAUUGAUUCAGGGUGGACUCUACUUGCAUUGGUGAAAUUCCAGCCUGGGUUACUUCUGUCCAGUCUUAAUACUGAAAUUCUAGAGAGUAGCCACCCAAUCUGGAAGCCACGACAAAACUCUUGAUGGACGUGGGGAACUAGGUCAAUAUGUCACAUCCACAUCAUCCUAGAUCAGAUUGCCUGGGGACACAAUGACCAAGCUUUCCCAUCCAUAGAAGACAUGCUUCAGGCUGUCCCUACAGGCCCCCUCCAGCUCUUUAAGAGAGAUCCUUAGGGAGGCCCUGGUCUUUGUCAGAGACUGGGGUUGGUGGAGGGUGGCUAAUCUGUAAGUCUCCAGAAAACUAUGUGUCUGUCCUAUACAAUCUCAGCAAGCUGUUGGCCCAAAGUCUUGUGUUUUGCACUAACCAUGUAUCUCUCACUUCAUAUUAAACAAUACCCUCAACUUU
rnacentral:lncRNA from 1 species